rnacentral:rRNA from 1 species
GGGCCCGCACAAGCGGUGGAGCAUGUGGUUUAAUUCGAUGAUACGCGAGGAACCUUACCAGGGCUUAAAUGCAGAACGACCGGGGUGGAAACACCCCUUUCUUCGGACGGUCUGCAAGGUGCUGCAUGGUUGUCGUCAGCUCGUGCUGUGAAGUGUCGGGCUAAGUCCCAUAACGAGCGCAACCCCUAUUUCUAGUUGCCAGCGGUUCGGCCGGGGACUCUAGAGAAACUGCCAGCGUAAGCUGUGAGGAAGGUGGGGAUGACGUCAAAUCAUCACGGCCCUUACGUCCUGGGCCACACACGUGCUACAAUGGUGGGGACAACGAGUCGCGAACCCGCGAGGGUAAGCUAAUCUUCAAACCCCAUCUCAGUUCGGAUCGGAGUCUGCAACUCGACUCCGUGAAGUUGGAAUCGCUAGUAA